rnacentral:pre_miRNA from 1 species
UUUUUUUCGUCCUACGGCACAUUAAACACGUCUUAAAAACGUGUUUAAUGUGCCGUAGGACGAAGAAGA